rnacentral:rRNA from 1 species
UGGGGAAUAUUGCACAAUGCGCGGAAGCCUGAUGCAGCAACGCCGCGUGCGGGAUGACGGCCUUCGGGUUGUAAACCGCUUUCGCCUGUGACGAAGCGUGAGUGACGGUAAUGGGUAAAGAAGCACCGGCUAACUACGUGCCAGCAGCCGCGGUGAUACGUAGGGUGCGAGCGUUGUCCGGAUUUAUUGGGCGUAAAGGGCUCGUAGGUGGUUGAUCGCGUCGGAAGUGUAAUCUUGGGGCUUAACCCUGAGCGUGCUUUCGAUACGGGUUGACUUGAGGAAGGUAGGGGAGAAUGGAAUUCCUGGUGGAGCGGUGGAAUGCGCAGAUAUCAGGAGGAACACCAGUGGCGAAGGCGGUUCUCUGGGCCUUUCCUGACGCUGAGGAGCGAAAGCGUGGGGAGCGAACA